rnacentral:rRNA from 1 species
CAGGAUGAACGCUAGCGGCAGGCUUAACACAUGCAAGUCGAGGGGCAACGCGAGUAGCAAUACUUGGCGGCGACCGGCGCAAGGGUGCGUAACGCGUGAGCAACAUGCCCGUAUCAGGGGGAUAAUCCAGGGAAACUUGGUCUAAUACCCCAUAGUAAUUUGUAAGGCAUCUUAUAAGAUUUAAAGCUUUGGUGGAUACGGAUUGGCUCGCGUGACAUUAGCUGGAUGGUAAGGUAACGGCUUACCAUGGCUAUGAUGUCUAGGGGUUCUGAGAGGAAGGUCCCCCACACUGGAACUGAGACACGGUCCAGACUCCUACGGGAGGCAGCAGUGAGGAAUAUUGGACAAUGGAUGGAAAUCUGAUCCAGCCAUGCCGCCGUGAAAGGAAGAAGGUCCUAUGGAUUGUAAACUUCUUUUGUAUGGGAGCAAUAAGGCCUACGAGUAGGUUGAUGAGAGUACCAUACGAAUAAGCACCGGCUAACUCCGUGCCAGCCGCCGC